AUGUCGGUGAGCCUCGCGAGGGCGUCGCUGCCGGCCUGGUGCACGGCGGCCGCGGCCGCGGGGAGCAGCGGCCUGCGCUCUCGCCUGCGCGGCACGGCGUGCUCCGGUCGGCGCGUGGGCGUCCGGUGCAGCUCCACCACGCCGCCGGGGUUUCCUCCGGGGCCGACGCCGCCGGGGUUCCCCGCGGAGGUGCCGGCCACGGCCCAGCCGCCCGAGGAGAUGCCGGGCACGGCGCGGCCGCCGCAGGAGAUGCCAGGCAUCGACAUGCCGCCGGAGUUCAACGCGCCCCCGGGCGUGGACGUGCCGACGCCUGGCGCGCCGGUGCCGGGCACGCCUCCCAGCCCGGAGCAGCCGGGGCCGUUCGUGCCAUCGCCGCCGAGGCCGGAGAUCCCGGCCGUGCCGCCGAACCCCGACGUGAUCCCGACGCCGCCGCCGGAGGUGGACCCACCGCGCACCCCGCCCGAGGUGGUGCCUCCGCAGCCGUCCGACGUCCCGCCUCCCUUCGUGUGA
rnacentral:rRNA from 1 species